rnacentral:sRNA from 12 species
GGUAGCUUUAGAAAACAUGAUUAACUCAGUGCAGAUGGAUUUUUCAGUCUUGCUGAGAUGCAAUGGUAACGAGAUAGGCUCAUUCGGGAUACUGGAUCAGCUGAUUCUUUCUAACAGAAGCGAUUCUGUUGGCGAAGACGAACAUCGUCAACAAUGCCUUGCAGUGUAUCAUCAUAGAGAAGUCAAUAGCAGAAUCCUUGUGGUCGGCGAAUAAUAGACGCUUGCAGUGCAAGAAUAAUCCAUUUGGUUUGUGGUGUGAGAGACCACCAACAGCGAUGGAAAAUCUCAAUAAGCUGAUUUGCCUUGAACCUAAGAAAUUAGGGUAUAACACAAGAAAUUCGUUAAAGUAGCGGUAUGGCAAGUUCUUGAAUAAGCAAUUUCGAUAUAAGCAAUGAAAAGGGUGCAAAAUAGGCGAAAACAUAAUCUGAAAGAACCGUGAAAUUUACGGGUAUCAAUCCCGUGUGUGCUUUGACAGCGGUAAGAAGCCAAGGGUCGCACCCGAACGCUCAGACUUAUCGUCACACUGGCAGAAUAUGACUUUUACCGUGGUGAAUAAGAGGAAACUCUAAUCAUGUUUUUCUUAUUCU